UCUGGCCUAAAGAACUAGCUCCAGAGAGAAUGUAUGGUUAGUCAUACACAGAAAUACAAAUACACACACACAGACACACACAAGCACACACACACACAGUCUUUAAGAUAUAACUGUGACACAACUGGAGACCCUUACUCAAUCAAGACCAGAUAGAAAGAA